UCAUUAGUUCUUUAAUUGAAAGCUAGAAUGAAUGGUUUGAUGAGAAAAUUUCUGUCUCAUAUUUAAAUUUAGAAUUUUAUUUUUAAGUUAAAAAGCUUAAAUAAUAUUAAAAGACGAGAAGACCCUAUAGAGUUUAAUUUUUAUUAUAAAUUUAUUAUUAAGAAUAUAAAUAAUAAUUUGUUAUAAAAAUUUAAUUGGGGUGAUUAUAAAAUUUAGUUAACUUUUAUUAUUUUUUUACAUAAAUUUAUGAUUUAUUGAUCCAUAUUUUGAUUAUAAGAUUAACUUACCUUAGGGAUAACAGCGUAAUUUUUUUUUAGAGUUCUUAUCGAAAUAAAAGAUUGCGACCUCGAUGUUGGAUUAAAGUAUAAUUAUGGUGUAGAUGCUAUAA
rnacentral:rRNA from 1 species